rnacentral:rRNA from 1 species
GAUGAACGCUGGCGGUAUGCUUAACACAUGCAAGUCGAACGGACUCUUCGGAGUUAGUGGCGGACGGGUGAGUAACGCGUGAGAAUCUGGCUUUGGGUUCGGGACAACCACUGGGAACGGUGGCUAAUACCGGAUGUGCCGAGAGGUAAAAGAGAAAUUGCCUGAAGAUGAGCUCGCGUCUGAUUAGCUAGUUGGUGAGGUAAAGGCUCACCAAGGCAGCGAUCAGUAGCUGGUCUGAGAGGAUGACCAGCCACACUGGGACUGAGACACGGCCCAGACUCCUACGGGAGGCAGCAGGGGGGAAUUUUCCGCAAUGGGCGAAAGCCUGACGGAGCAAUACCGCGUGAGGGAAGAAGGCUCUUGGGUUGUAAACCUCUUUUCUUAGGGAAGAACAGAAUGACGGUACCUAAGGAAUCAGCAUCGGCUAACUCCGUG